AUUGAACGCUGGCGGCAGGCUUAACACAUGCAAGUCGAGCGGGGGGAGGUAGCUUGCUACCUAACCUAGCGGCGGACGGGUGAGUAAUGCUUAGGAAUCUGCCUAUUAGUGGGGGACAACAUUUCGAAAGGGAUGCUAAUACCGCAUACGCCCUAAGGGGGAAAGCAGGGGAUCUUCGGACCUUGCGCUAAUAGAUGAGCCUAGGUCGGAUUAGCUAGUUGGUGGGGUAAAGGCCUACCAAGGCGACGGUCUGUAGCGGGUCUGAGAGGAUGAGCCGCCACACUGGGACAGAGACACGGCCCAGACUCCUACGGGGGGCAGCAGUGGGGAAUAUUGGACAAUGGGGGGAACCCUGAUCCAGCCAUGCCGCGUGUGUGAAGAAGGCCUUUUGGUUGUAAAGCACUUUAAGCGAGGAGGAGGCUACCGAGAUUAAUACUCUUGGAUAGUGGACGUUACUCGCAGAAUAAGCACCGGCUAACUCUGUGCCAGCAGCCGCCGUAACAC
rnacentral:rRNA from 1 species